rnacentral:rRNA from 1 species
GGAGGAAAGCAGGGGAUCGCAAGACCUUGCGCUUUUGGAGCGGCCGAUGUCUGAUUAGCUAGUUGGUGAGGUAAAGGCUUACCAAGGCGUCGAUCAGUAGCUGGUCUGAGAGGACGACCAGCCACACUGGGACUGAGACACGGCCCAGACUCCUACGGGAGGCAGCAGUGGGGAAUUUUGGACAAUGGGGGAAACCCUGAUCCAGCCAUGCCGCGUGAGUGAAGAAGGCCUUCAGGUUGUAAAGCUCUUUCAGCCGGAACGAAACGGUCACGGUUAAUACCCGUGACAACUGACGGUACCGGAAGAAGAAGCACCGGCUAACUACGCGCCAGCAGCCGCGGUAAUACGUAGGGUGUGAGCGUUAAUCGGAAUUACUGGGCGUAAAGCGUGCGCAGGCGGCUUUGUAAGUCAGAUGUGAAAUCCCCGGGCUUAACCUGGGAACUGCGUUUGAAACUACAAAGCUAGA